rnacentral:rRNA from 1 species
UACGUAGGGUGCGAGCGUUAAUCGGAAUUACUGGGCGUAAAGCGUGCGCAGGCGGUGAUGUAAGACCGAUGUGAAAUCCCCGGGCUUAACCUGGGAACUGCAUUGGUGACUGCAUCGCUCGAGUAUGGCAGAGGGGGGUAGAAUUCCACGUGUAGCAGUGAAAUGCGUAGAGAUGUGGAGGAAUACCGAUGGCGAAAGCAGCCUCCUGGGCCAACACUGACGCUCAUGCACGAAAGCGUGGGAGCAAACAGG